rnacentral:rRNA from 1 species
UUUACCUACGGGGGGCAGCAGUAGGGAAUUUUCGUCAAUGGGCGCAAGCCUGAACGAGCAAUGCCGCGUGAACGAGGAAGGUCUUCGGAUCGUAAAGUUCUGUUGAAGGGGAAAAAGAGCGGAGAGAGGAAAUGAACUCCGAUUGAUAUUACCCUUCGAGGAAGUCACGGCUAACUACGUGCCAGCAGCCGCGGUAAUACGUAGGUGGCGAGCGUUAUCCGGAUUUAUUGGGUUUAAAGGGUGCGUAGGCGGAAGGUUAAGUCAGCGGUCAAAUGUCGGUGCUCAACACCGGCCUGCCGUUGAAA